rnacentral:rRNA from 1 species
UGGGGAAUAUUGGACAAUGGGCGCAAGCCUGAUCCAGCCAUGCCGCGUGAGUGAUGAAGGCCUUAGGGUUGUAAAGCUCUUUCACCGGUGAAGAUAAUGACGGUAACCGGAGAAGAAGCCCCGGCUAACUUCGUGCCAGCAGCCGCGGUAAUACGAAGGGGGCUAGCGUUGUUCGGAAUUACUGGGCGUAAAGCGCAUGUAGGCGGACAUUUAAGUCAGGGGUGAAAUCCCGGGGCUCAACCUCGGAACUGCCUUUGAUACUGGGUGUCUAGAGUGUGGAAGAGGUAAGUGGAAUUCCGAGUGUAGAGGCGAAAUUCGUAGAUAUUCGGAGGAACACCAGUGGCGAAGGCGGCUUACUGGUCCAUUACUGACGCUGAGGUGCGAAAGCGUGGGGAGCAAACAG